UUCUCAAGGAAUGAUAGGAAUGUGGGGAU
rnacentral:piRNA from 1 species